GAAGGGCCAUAACUCAGUGGCAGAACAUCUGCUUUGCAUGCAGAAGGUCCCAGGUUCAAUCCCUGUCAUCUUCA